rnacentral:snRNA from 1 species
GGGCUUGCCUAAGCAGCACAUAUACUAAAAUUGGGAAGACAGAGAUUAGCAUGGCUUCUGCGCAAGGAUGACACACAAAUUCGAGAAGCGCUCCCUAUUUUU